rnacentral:misc_RNA from 1 species
GAUGAAGAACGUAGCAAAAUGCGAUAAGUUAUGUGAAUUGCAGAAUUCAGUGAAUCAUCGAAUCUUUGAACGCACAUUGCGCCCGCCAGUAUUCUGGCGGGCAUGCCUGUUCGAGCGUCAUUUCAACCCUCAAGCCCUCGGGUUUGGUGUUGGGGAUCGGCGAGCCUUUCUGGCAAGCCGGCCCCGAAAUCUAGUGGCGGUCUCGCUGCAGCCUCCAUUGCGUAGUAGUAAAACCCUCGCAACUGGAACGCGGCGCGGCCAAGCCGUUAAACCCCCAACUUCUGAAUGUUGACCUCGGAUCAGGUAGGAAUACCCGCUGAACUUAAGCAUAUCAAUAAGCGGAGGA